GGCAGGUCGACAGCAAGGAAACCAUAAUCAUUGAAAAUGAAAAGUACAACGUCCGUAUCGUAACCCAAGAGGUUCUCUGGCCUACUACUGCAGCUGCGGCUGGGAUUUUCUUGAUCCACUUUCACAAUUUGAAAAAAAAGGUCAUUUGACGCGCACAAACGAAGAGUUUUCAAUAUCAGUGACACUGGCCAACAUGUAAAUGGUGCCUGAUCCACUUGAAAGUACAUGGAAAACAUCACCAACCAGCAGACAGACACUUGGCUUUAACACUGGCCCUUCCUGUCUCAUCUGUCUAAGGGUUAAAGUCUAAGAGCAAAAGCUUACUCACUUAACGUCCGUAGAGAAGCCUUAACGAUCUAACCUUUGGGAUUUAGGACCUGCCUCUGCCUGACAGGGACCCACAAGGCUUAUGGGACAGUGCAUACACAAGAAACUCAGAUGGGGGCGUGGUAGCCAGACUGAGUUGUUGACACGUCUGUCUCAAAAUGGAUGCAGCUUUGACUGACAGCUGCACGUCCCCA
rnacentral:lncRNA from 1 species